GAUCUAGCCAUGGGCAGGUUGAAGGUUGGGUAACACUAACUGGAGGACCGAACCGACUAAUGUUGAAAAAUUAGCGGAUGACCUGUGGCUGGGGGUGAAAGGCCAAUCAAACCGGGAGAUAGCUGGUUCUCCCCGAAAGCUAUUUAGGUAGCGCCUCGUGAAUUCAUCUCCGGGGGUAGAGCACUGUUUCGGCUAGGGGGCCAUCCCGGCUUACCAACCCGAUGCAAACUGCGAAUACCGGAGAAUGUUAUCACGGGAGACACACGGCGGGUGCUAACGUCCGUCGUGAAGAGGGAAACAACCCAGACCGCCAGCUAAGGUCCCAAAGUCAUGGUUAAGUGGGAAACGAUGUGGGAAGGCCCAGACAGCCAGGAUGUUGGCUUAGAAGCAGCCAUCAUUUAAAGAAAGCGUAAUAGCUCACUGGUCGAGUCGGCCUGCGCGGAAGAUGUAACGGGGCUAAACCAUGCACCGAAGCUGCGGCAGCGACACUGUGUGUUGUUGGGUAGGGGAGCGUUCUGUAAGCCUGUGAAGGUGUGUCGUGAGGCAUGCU
rnacentral:rRNA from 1 species